rnacentral:rRNA from 1 species
UACGGAGGGGGCUAGCGUUGUCCGAAGUUACUGGGCGUAAAGCGCGCGUAGGCGGGUUGGUAAGUCCGGCUGUGAAAGCCCGGAGCUUAACUCCGGAGGGUCGGUGGAUACUGCCAGUCUUGAAGGUGCUAGGGGGAGAUGGAAUUACCGGUGUAGCGGUGAAAUGCGUAGAUAUCUGGAGACACCGGUGGCGAAGGCGGUUCUCUGGGCCUUACCUGACGCUGAGGAGCGAAAGCGUGGGGAGCGAACAGG